UAGAUAAUGAUUGAGAUAUCAAAAAAUUAAAUGCUUAAUUGAGAGGUUGAGGGUGGCUGUGAGGGGUGGUAAAGGAGGCCACUAAGAGCUAUACCACCUUUAUGUAAUUUGCUUUGCUUGGAUGUGACGUGAUGUACCUAUGCUUUGAUGGGAGCUAAGAAAAGUGGUGGAAGGGGACACGAUGUAUCGGUUGAUGCUGCUAAAGAGCACUGGGGAGAAGAGACACAUAUCAUGUAUCCGAUGGUGGGGUCAAAGCAACGGGGAUGUUAGGGACACGCGAUGUACCUACCCAUUGGCAGAUCAAUGGAUUGUUAAGGGAAGUGACGCGCAGCUGUGGGGUCAAAGGAAAGUCGGCGGAAGGGACGCGAUGUGUCCGUUGGGGGGCCAAUGUAAAAUGGAGUGAAGAGACACGAAGUUUCGGUUGGUGGGACCAAAGCAAAGUGGACGUAAGGAACUCGAUGUAUCCGUUGGCAGGGUCAAAGGAAUGUUAUGGGAAGGGACGCGCAGUUGUGAGGUCAAAGGAAAGUUGAGGGAAGGGGCGCGAUGUAUCCGUCGGGUGGCCAAUGUAAAAUGGGGGGAAGGGAUGCGAUGUAUUCGAUGAUAGGGCAAUGUAAAAUGUAGGGAAAGGAUGCGAUGUAUCCGUUGGCAGGGUCAAAGGAUUGUUAAGGGAAGGGACGCGCAUCGGUGGGGCAAAUGGAAAGUUUAGGGAAGGGUCGCGGUGUAUCAGUUGGUGGGGCCAAUAAAAAAUGGAGGAUUAGGACAAGAUGUAUCGGAUGGUGUGGUGAAAAGAAAAUUAAGGAAAAGCAUGCUAAUGAGUCGUACCAUCAACCCUGUUUCAGCAUGGCAAUGGUUGUGAGUGAGUUACUUACCUUCAAACGUGAACGACUAUGGCAAUUCAACAGCCAUCGCCUGUUUUUCAAUGAUUAAUAACAUGCCGAAUCUUCAUGAGUAGGGUGGGUUCGACGAGACGGCCAAACUUUUCCUCUGAAAAUUCUCGAUAGAGGUAGCUAAUGAUUUGCGCAGUUGUUAAACAACUUCCGAGCGCGUGUUGUGUGCAUAUGGGACGCAGAGUCACACAAGUUGUUCGAAGAAUUUCUACAGACGCCAAACAAAACACCUUCCCUGGAGAAGUUAAUCGAAUUCAUUAGAAGUGCUUUUUUUUUAAAGCUCGAGAAGCUCAACAUUUGUCAGUCCAAGGUCACCAGAGUUGGCAGACAAAUCGUUAACAGGCCAGCAACAGCACAAGUGUUGUCGACACCAGCAAGGCAAACAUUGGUGAUAGAAAACUUUCAAAUGUAUGGACCACAUUUGCCACAACACAUGCUAUUCGUUUAAUCGCUGCAGAAUAUGCCAAUACCACCAAUACACCCUAUUGCAUCAGAAUAACUUAAAGCUCGUCGCAUGCAGUCUCAGUGGUACACGCAUCAAGACAGUCAGUUGAGUUUCGAGUACGCGCAUUUCCAGAAGAAAAGAAGUUUUACUAGCAACGGCGGCGGUAGUUAGAAUUAAAGACAUCUUCGGGGGACUACUAUUGGUAUUGGUUGAGCCAGAGUCUCAGCUGCAGGUCGAGUGCAGCACUAAAUGGGGUGAUCAAGAAAUCAGAAAAUUGGUACCACAUUAACGGUGGGCUCACUUUCCACGGAAGAAAAUCCAGCCGACAUAUUAUCAAGGGGGUGUCCAGCAACCACAAUAAAGACAGAUCCAUAUGGUGGAAUGUGCGGGAAUAGCUAAAAACGAAACGAAUGGGAGGCAUACUUAAAUACUACAGGUCACCACCAACCUAGAGAUGAAGCGAUAACCACAACAAUAGAAUUAGGACACGAGAGUAGUAUCAUAAACCGACGCUACAACGGGUGAUCGCAUACUGCAGUCGGUUCAGCAAGGCAUGCAGAGGACCGCAAAGUCAGCACAGGCAUCUAGAACUACAAGAGCUGAUCAGAGCAAGUCCUGGAGCAAAUGCAUCAAGUCAUCACAAUGACACAACGGCAGCAAUUCGAUAAAGAAGUAAAAUCACUUCAAGCACAUCAGCGGAGGAAGAUUACAAAAUCCAUAGCUAUCGUUCGACGAAAUUCAUCCCAUAAUACUACCACCAAGGCAACAACUCACAAGACUAGUCACGUUAGAUGCUCCGCAAGAAGUGCUCCAUGGAGGGAUCCAGAUCAUCCUGGCAUGUCUACGCAGGAAGAUUGGCUACUAAACGGCAAAAAAUAAGUGAUUCUCGGAUGCACAACAUGCAUCAGAUACAGGACGCAGACUGUCCAGCAACUAAUGGGAGAGACUACCCGCAGCGAGGGUAAUUCCAAAUUUACUCCAUUUACGCACCCCGGAAUAGAUUACCGCGAAUCCAGAUAAAUAAGAUCAUGGAUAGAAGGAGGACAGAAAGCAUAAAGGAUACAUUGCACUAUUUAUGUCCAACAACCAGGGCAAUACUUCUGGAAGUAGUAAGCGACAUGACUACAGAACCGUUCGUAGCAGCGUUGAGAAGAUUCAUCUCCAGACGAGGACAUCGUGCACAUAUAUACAGUGACAAUGGCACAAAUUUUUUGAGAGCGUUCCUAGGAGAGACCAAAGGGUUCCAGGACAGUCGUUUUGAUGGUCACUGGGAUUUCCAUGUCUACAAUUUGCAGCGUGGGACCGCUUUGCACCCGGUUAAUUCCCCAUAAUCUUUGAAGACAUGGUAGAUAUUACCCAACGGUUCUGCAGUGCAUCGUUCCUCCUUGAUGAUCCUGCCCAGGCAAGGCCGAAAUUAAUGCUAAUGGUAAAUUUCGCGUUUUUAAGAUUAGAGAAGGGCAGUCUUAUGAAGGUAGGAUUUUUCUCUUUUGCAUGGUGUUUUGCAUGUCAUAUUUUUGUGUAAAGGGGGGUAAAGUGAAUAGUGCAUAUAGUGACUAAAAGGAAGAUCGCCGACUGUAUUCAGCCAACUAAGAGAGUAGUAAAUGAGUUGUGACUAUCUUCUCAGUCUAUAAUCUUGGCAAUGUAAGAUUGACCCCAAUAAUUCUUGGAAUAGUCCCUUUUGCUGCCUGAGUCAGUUUACAUCAUAUUAAAAAGUGGCUAUGAAUUCAUAGUCACGCUAAUGAUAUGAUUUGAACGGAUUCGUCUGCGAACCAGACUAUAGAGAAGUUUUGAGGUCAAUUCUUUCGUUACCAAGUGCCAUGGUUUCGAGGAUUGUUAUGUCUCAUUUAUUACUACCUAUAUGAAGAUCGGCGUCAUAGUUUUUAAAGAGAGGUGAGUAAUUGAUUUUACUAAGUAGCAUUUUCAUUUAUAUUUACACUUUAUAGUUCAUAUAAUAUAUAUCUACCUAAAUAAUAUAAAUUAAGCGAUUUAGUUCUUUUUCUUGUAAGCUCUUGUAUAAAAAGUUCUCUUUAUAACUCACUUAAUUUUAAGUAAGCACAGUUUAGAAAUGUUUUUAACGUUAAUUUUCUGCUUGUUACAGAUUCCAGAAGGGCAGUUUUAUAAAGGUAGGAUUUUUUCUUUUAUUCAUUUCAUUUCAGCAGUGGGGGAAAAGUGAAUAGUGUCUAAAGAAGUUUUCAAUGGAUUCUCGUACAUCGUAAGUACAGUGUAAGUUGUCUUCUCAUCUUGGUAAGAAGAUUGAUUGCAAUGAUUCUUCGAAUGGUCUCUCUGGCAGGAUCAAUCAUUUGCAUCAUAUUAACGUGUAGGACUGUGAAUUCAUAGUUGUACUUUUUUUUAUGAAGUAAAGCGAUUGUCUUUGCAAACGAGCCUGUAAAA